GGGACCAAUCUCCUCGUCCCUCCUCCAGAUGUGUCCCCUGUAUUAGUGCAAUGUCCAUCACCCCCAAAAGUGGGACCAAUCUCCUCAUCCCUGCCAGGGCACCCAGGAACAGGGUCUAGUCAGUGGGUGAAUCCUGAUCCCAGGCAGGGGUGGGACAGUGCUGACAUAUGCUAUCAUCACACAGACAUCGCAGGCACUGUCAGGUCCGGAGGGGUAAAGGGGAUCCUGAGCUCCUGAGGGGCAAAGGGGCCCAUCCAAGGGCCCUUUAUCUUCCCACCGUCACCUGUUAAUGACCAGAGUCCACAGGUCUGGCUGGAGGCUGCCCAUGGUUUAGGCUGUUUGUCCAGUCUGGCCUUUGCUGAGAUCACAAUAACCUGCUACAGAAUCAUAGAAGCUGCUCUAAGGUCUCCCUUAAGGAGCCUUCUCUUCUCCAGGCUGACCCAGCCCAGCUCUCUCAGCCUGGCUCCAGAGCAGAGCUGCUCCAGCCCUCGCAGCAGCUCCGUGGCCUCCUCUGGCCUCGCUCCAGCAGCUCCACGUCCCUCUUGUGCUGUUGCCCCAGAGCUGGAUCAGGACUGCAGGGGGGGUCUCCCCAGAGCGCAGCAGAGGGGCAGAAUCCCUCCCUGACCUGCUGCUCACCCUCUGGGGGUGCAGCCCAGCACACGGGGAGGGGGGGGUCUGGGCUCAAGCGCACACUGAAGCCGGGUCAUGGGGAGCUUCUCACCCAACACCCCAAGUCCUUCUCCUCUGGCUGCUCCAGCCUGUCUCCCCCAGCCUGGGUCUGUGCUAGUUUUGCCCUGACCCAGGGUCAGGACCUUGCCCUUGGCCUGGUUGAACUCCAGGAGGUUCCCACCUCUCCAGUCUGUGCAGGUCCCUUUCAGGGCUCAGGAUCCAUAGUGCUGCCAUGACAAAAUGCACAUGAGCUUGAAUAAGGAAGUGGCAGCGCUGCCUGAGUUGGAACGUGAAGGAAGUUUUGUGUAAGAGGCUUAUUUGUUGCAAAUUCAUAGAUGCUUAGUUAUGUACCAGGAAGGGAAACACCAUUUGCUGUCUGUGAGCUGUCGAUAGGGACCUUGUAACACAGGGACUGAGCCUUUGUUUUCACACAACCCCACUGGGCGUUACUACAGGUACAGACCCAACAGCUAAACCUUGCCAUGAUCUUAGUGUUGGGCUGGGUCUGGCUGUGCCCACCAGAGAAGAAAACAUUUCCCUCCACAGAUUCCUUUGCCUGUUUAUGAUGCCCAAAUUCAUUGUGGAUAAUGGAGUCACAGAUUGCCAUGAGCAGUUCAGGAAAUCAGUGAACCCCAGACUGGUUUGGGUUGGGAGGGACCUUAAAGCUCAUCCAGCUCCAACCCCUGCCCCGGGCAGGGACACCUUCCACUAGAGCAGGUUGCUCCAAGCCCCUAUGUCCUACCUGGCCUUGAACACUGCCAGGGAUGGGGCAGCCACAGCUUCUCUGGGCACCCUGUGCCAGCGCCUCAGCACCCUCACAGGGAAGAGCUUCUGCCUAAGAGCUCAUCUCAGUCUUCUCUCUGGCAGGUUAAAGCCAUUCCCCUUGUCCUGUUGCUACAGGCCCUUGUCCAAAGCCCCUCUCCAGGUUUCCUGGAGCCCCUUUAGGCACUGGAGCUGCUCUAAGGUCUCCCCUUAAGGACCCUUCUCUUUUCCAGGCCGAACCAGCCCAGCAAUCUCAGC
rnacentral:lncRNA from 1 species